rnacentral:snoRNA from 1 species
GGACGGUGAAGAUUGAUAUUUGGUCUCAACUGGCAUUUAUUUGCCUUGCCGACCAUCCUGCUAUAUCACCACCCAUAUUCUGUGUCC